rnacentral:rRNA from 1 species
GUUUGAUCAUGGCUCAGAUUGAACGCUGGCGGCAGGCCUAACACAUGCAAGUCGAGCGGAUGAGGGGUGCUUGCACUCCGAUUCAGCGGCGGACGGGUGAAUAAUGCCUAUGAAUCUGCCCGAUAGUGGGGGACAACGUUUCGAAAGGAACGCUAAUACCGCAUACGUCCUACGGGAGAAAGUGGGGGAUCUUCGGACCUCACGCUAUCGGAUGAGCCUAGGUCGGAUUAGCUAGUUGGAGAGGUAAUGGCUCACCAAGGCGACUAUCCGUAACUGGUCUGAAAGGAUGAUCAGUCACCCUGGAACUGAGACACGGGCCAAACUCCUACGGGAGGCAGCAGUGGGGAAUAUUGGACAAUGGGCGAAAGCCUGAUCCAACCAUGCCGCGUGUGUGAAGAAGGUCUUCGGAUUGUAAAGCACUUUAAAUUGGAAGGAAGGGCUGUCGGCUAAUACCCUGCAGUUUUGACGUUACCAACACAAUAAGCACCGGCUAACUUCGUGCCAACAGCCGCGGUAAUACGAAUGGUGCAAGCGUUAAUCGGAAUCACUGGGCGUAAAGCGCGCGUACGUGGUUCAGCAAGUUGGAUGUGAAAACACCGGGCUCAACCUGUGAACUGCAUCCAAAACUACUGGGCUAUAGUACGGUAAAGGGUGGUGGAAUUUCCUGUGUAGCGGUGAAAUGCUUACAUAUAGGAAGGAACACCAGUGGCGAAGGCGACCACCUGUACUGAUACUGACACUGACGUGCGAAAGCGUGGGGAGCAAACAGGAUUAGAUACCCUGGUAGUCCACGCCGUAGACGAUGUCUACUAGCUGUUGGAUUCCUUGAGAACUUAUUAGCGCAGCUAACGUGAUCAGUUGACCGCCUGCGGAGUACUGC